AGAGUUUGAUCCUGGCUCAGAAUCAACGCUGGCGGCGCGCUUAACACAUGCAAGUCGCACGAGAAAGAGGGAGCAAUCCCUUGAGUACAGUGGCGUACGGGUGAGUAACACGUGGAUCAUCUACCUUCUAGUGGGGAAUAACCCUGGGAAACUGGGGCUAAUACCGCAUAAGCUCGAAAGAGGAAAGCAGCAAUGCGCUGGAAGAGGAGUCCGCGGCUCAUUAGCUAGAUGGCGGGGUAAUGGCCCACCAUGGCGAAGAUGGGUAGCCGGCCUGAGAGGGCACACGGCCACACUGGCACUGAAACACGGGCCAGACUCCUACGGGAGGCAGCAGUGGGGAAUCUUGCACAAUGGAGGAAACUCUGAUGCAGCGACGCCGCGUGAGCGAUGAAGCCCUUCGGGGUGUAAAGCUCUUUCGACGGGAACGAUAAUGACGGUACCCGAAGAAGAAGCUGCGGCUAACUACGUGCCAGCAGCCGCGGUAAUACGUAGGCAGCGAGCGUUGUUCGGAAUUACUGGGCGUAAAGAGUGUGUAGGCGGUGCUCCAAGUCUGUUGUGAAAUCUCCCGGCUCAACUGGGAGGGUGCGGCGGAAACUGGAGUGCUCGAGUAUGGGAGAGGUAAGCGGAAUUCCUGGUGUAGCGGUGAAAUGCGUAGAUAUCAGGAGGAACACCUGCGGUGUAGACAGCUUACUGGACCAUCACUGACGCUGAGACACGAAAGCGUGGGUAGCAAACAGGAUUAGAUACCCUGGUAGUCCACGCCCUAAACGAUGCAUACUUGGUGUGAGCCAUUCAUUUGGUUCGUGCCGGAGCUAACGCGUUAAGUAUGCCGCCUGGGGAGUACGGUCGCAAGGCUGAAACUCAAGGAAUUGACGGGGGCCCGCACAAGCGGUGGAGCAUGUGGUUCAAUUCGACGCAACGCGAAGAACCUUACCUGGGCUCGAACGGCCGGCUAACGAUCGUGGAAACACGGUUACUCCGCAAGGGGGUCCGGUCGAGGUGCUGCAUGGCUGUCGUCAGCUCGUGUCGUGAGAUGUUGGGUUAAGUCCCGCAACGAGCGCAACCCUUGUCCUGUGUUGCCACUCCCGCAAGGGAAGCACUCUCAGGAGACCGCCAGCGAUAAGCUGGAGGAAGGUGGGGAUGAUGUCAAGUCAUCAUGGCCUUUAUGUCCAGGGCUACACACGUGCUACAAUGGCCGGUACAAAGCGCUGCAAACCCGCGAGGGGGAGCUAAUCGCAAAAAACCGGUCUCAGUUCGGAUUGCAGGCUGCAACUCGCCUGCAUGAAGCUGGAAUCGCUAGUAAUGGCGUAUCAGAACGAUGCCGUGAAUACGUUCCCGGGCCUUGUACACACCGCCCGUCACAUCACGAAAGUGGAUUGUACUAGAAGUCUGCAUGCCGACCGCAAGGGGGCAGCGGCCCAAGGUAUGAUUCAUGAUUGGGGUGAAGUCGUAACAAGGUA
rnacentral:rRNA from 1 species